GAAGAGAAGAAGUCAAAGUUUCUGUUGGUGUUUUCCUAAAGUUUAGCUGCUUUCAGUUAAAAUAAAUCCUAGUCUUUAGGAUAUGCUUGUUACUACUUUCAAGUUGUUAGUUAGUGUUAGCACGUUGCUGCAGUGGCAAAUGUGAGCUAAUAUUUCGCUUUUCUGUUAUUAUGUAAAGGCUAUUUAUAAAGCCUCAGUUUGUUCAAUAAGAUAAGGAAUCAUUCCCACGAUUAUUGAGUUUCUUGUUGCUUUA
rnacentral:lncRNA from 1 species